UCUCCGUUGGUGAACCAGCGGAGGGAUCAUUACUGAGUUUACGCUCUACAACCCUUUGUGAACAUACCUACAACUGUUGCUUCGGCGGGUAGGGUCUCCGCGACCCUCCCGGCCUCCCGCCUCCGGGCGGGUCGGCGCCCGCCGGCGGAUAACCAAACUCUGAUUUAACGACGUUUCUUCUGAGUGGUACAAGCAAAUAAUCAAAACUUUUAACAACGGAUCUCUUGGUUCUG
rnacentral:misc_RNA from 1 species